UACGAAGGGGGCGAGCGUUGUUCGGAUUUACUGGGCGUAAAGGGCGCGCAGGCGGCUAUCCAAGUCAGGCGUGAAAGCCCCGGGCUUAACCUGGGAGGUGCGUCUGGGACUGGGUGGCUAGAGUUCGGGAGAGGAGAGUGGAAUUCCCAGUGUAGAGGUGAAAUUCGUAGAUAUUGGGAAGAACACCGGUGGCGAAGGCGGCUCUCUGGACCGAGACUGACGCUGAGAGACGAAAGCUAGGGGAGCGAAUGGG
rnacentral:rRNA from 1 species